rnacentral:lncRNA from 10 species
UGAAAAACCACUAAACUGCAUGCUUACUAAGGUCUACUGGAAUCUAAUUCUUCGAAAGGUGUGACGGCCUAGACCAGAAGAAUUGACGGUCAUGUUUUAAAAGGGCUGGGAACUCUGGAGGUUUCUUAGCAAAUGAGUUGUAAGUUGCAUUUCUUUUGGAAGGAUUACUAGAGGUGUGUGGGAAGAAAGACUAGAACUGAGAAAUCCUAGGGUCGCUGCAACUGUCCAGGAAAGACAGAACCUUUUCACAUAAUGUCUCCAAGCUUACCUCUCUGCCACACUGCUCAUCAUUAAUCCUGCUGGUGCUGCUGAGGACCUGCAGGGAGGCUAAGCCUGCACCCCAGCGAGCCAAAAGCCUCAUUUCAGAGAUGAUCCAUUGCACAAGUUCUCAGCUUCCAGGAUCAGGAGUCAUAAUCCACAAAAGUUUGGGCUUAUCAGCAAACAGGAUGAUGGAGGUACAUCCAUUCAAAGAGAUGCACCUGGCAGUGGAUGGAGCUGGGGAGAUACUCCAUUUUCAUGGAUCCCAGACUGGAAAUAAUAGAUCAUGCACUAUGUUUAUGGUUUUGCAAGAAGUUCAAAGGCAGAACUCCAAACAGCAUUUUCCAGCUUAACCCUCUGAUCCUGCACCAAAAGAAUGGCCAGGUGAUGCAGAUUUAUGUGUUUAAAGUUAAAAUAAAAUAUUUAAGGC